UUAUGGCCAUAUCACGUUGAAACAUUUGUUCCCUGUAGGAUCAAUGAAGUUAAGCAAUCUCAAGCCUGGUCAGUACCAAGAUGGGUGACUGCUUGGGAAUACCAGGUUG